ensembl:misc_RNA Metazoa_SRP Metazoan signal recognition particle RNA
GCUGGGCAUGGUGGUGCAUGCCUGUAGUCCCAGCUACUUGGGAGGCUGAGGUGAGAGGAUCAUUCGAGCCUGGGAGGCUGAGGCUGCAGUGAGCUACGAUCAUGCUACUGCACCCCAGCCUGGGCAACAGAGUGAGACCCUGUCUCAA